CCUACGGGUGGCUGCAGUGAGGAAUAUUGGUCAAUGGGCGCGAGCCUGAACCAGCCAAGUCGCGUGAGGGAGGACGGCCCUACGGGUUGUAAACCUCUUUUGCCGGGGAGCAACGGGCGUCACGUGUGGCGCCACUGAGAGUACCCGGAGAAAAAGCAUCGGCUAACUCCGUACCAGCAGCCGCGGUAAUACGGAGGAUGCGAGCGUUAUCCGGAUUUAUUGGGUUUAAAGGGAGCGUAGGCGGGUUGUUAAGUCAGUUGUGAAAGUUUGCGGCUCAACCGUAAAAUUGCAGUUGAUACUGGCAUCCUUGAGUACAGUAGAGGUAGGCGGAAUUCGUGGUGUAGCGGUGAAAUGCUUAGAUAUCACGAAGAACUCCGAUUGCGAAGGCAGCCUGCUGGACUGUAACUGACGCUGAUGCUCGAAAGUGUGGGUAUCAAACAGGAUUAGAUACCCGAGUAGUC
rnacentral:rRNA from 1 species